rnacentral:piRNA from 1 species
UACCACAUAGGUGUUGGUUGACUGUGGUU